UCUCAGCUUUAUUGGCUGUUGAUUUCAACCAAUCACCUGUGGUUUAGCCCCAGGGCUCUCUGGGAGACCGAGUCCGGGGUUCCAGGUCCCCGCCCAGGCUAUGCGCGUCUCUGCGAGAUUAUCCGGAAGUGGGGCCACUGGAGUCGGCUUUUAAGUUAAAAUCAUGUUAUUGAUUGGCCUGAUAUUUCCUCCCUUCCUGUGGGUGAAAGUCAGUAAUCUUCAAACUCACACAAGCAUGCAAAGUUGUUCAUUCAAUGCCUGACACCUACUAUGCGCCAAGUCCUGUGCUAAAGGACAAGCCCUACCCUCAGUGAUCUUGCAGUCUAAUGGCGGAGGCCGACUCAGCACAUCAUCACUGGCUUAAAGCAGGAGUAAGAAUCAGCAGCUCUGGAAGUAGAGACUAAUCCCAUGAAGGCUGGGCUAGGUUAGGGAAGUCCUCACAAAGGAAGAGGAAUCUGAACUAGACCUGGAAGGAUGUCACCACUGGAGAAGGGCCAAGAACUGUCUAGCACCUCAAACAACUGGAGGAAAGGAUGACGUUUUGUAAAUACUGCUGAGAAAGGCUACUAUUCAGAACUAGUCUUCCAUUUUUCGUGGCUUGUCUUGAAAAGACCCAUCCUGAGGUUUCCCAGAAGUUCACAGCUAUACAACAAGAAUUAUGCACAUGUGCAUUUCUUCUGACCAUUCUGUUUUACCAGUGAGGAAGUCUGAAUUGCUGUGAAGAUAACUUCUAAAAGAUUUGGAAAGACUUAAAGGCCAUUGGGAAUCCAUGGCUGGGGAAUCUCAUUAAUAAAUCACAACUACUCCCAGCCUCCAGCUUAAAAAGAAUAAUGCUUGUCAACAUUUCCAGAAAACAAACUGUGACUUCAGCUUUUAUUGCGUUCUGCUGGGAUCAACGAUUACAGAACCUCAGAAUCACAGAUCACUCUCCCCAUAG